rnacentral:rRNA from 1 species
CGCGUAGGCGGCCAGGUAAGUCUGAUGUGAAAGCCCUCGGCUCAACCGAGGAUCCGCAUUGGAAACUACCUGGCUUGAGGCCAGGAGGGGAGGGUGGAAUUCCCGGUGUAGCGGUGAAAUGCGUAGAGAUCGGGAGGAACACCUGUGGCGAAGGCGGCCCUCUGGAAUGGUACUGACGCUGAGGCGCGAAAGCUGGGGGAGCGAACG